rnacentral:rRNA from 1 species
GUCUGUGAUGCCCUUAGAUGUCCUGGGCCGCACGCGCGCUACACUGAUGAAGUCAGCGAGUUUAUAACCUUGGCCGGAAGGUCUGGGUAAUCUUUUGAAACUUCAUCGUGCUGGGGAUAGAGCAUUGCAAUUAUUGCUCUUCAACGAGGAAUUCCUAGUAAGCGUGAGUCAUCAGCUCGCGUUGAUUACGUCCCUGCCCUUUGUACACACCGCCCGUCGCUACUACCGAUUGAAUGGCUUAGUGAGUCCUUCGGAUUGGCAUCCGGCAGCUGGCAACAGCAGCUGGAUGCUGAGAAGUUGGGCAAAUUUGGUCAUUUAGAGGAAGUAAAAGUCGUAACAAGGUUUCCGUAGGUGAACCUGCGGAAGGAUCAUUAAUGAAUCAGUAAUACCGGCAUAUGCCACUUUCAGUGGUGUCGGUCUAUCUCUGACCAUUCACUGUGUGCACAUAUCGAAAUCAUGCUUUGGCAGACUCUCCCCUUGGCCUUCGUGGUUGGGGGGGCGCUGGGUGUUCGGGCCCGAGGUCUGCCGAAGGUAUCUUUAUUCAACCAUAGCCUGAUCGCUUGUCUGAAUCAUAUAACAAUAAACCAAUACAACUUUCAACAACGGAUCUCUUGGCUCUCGCAUCGAUGAAGAACGCAGCGAAAUGCGAUACGUAAUGUGAAUUGCAGAAUUCAGUGAAUCAUCGAAUCUUUGAACGCAUAUUGCACUCUCUGGUAUUCCGGAGAGUAUGCCUGUUUCAGCAUCAGAAGUACCCUCGAACCCUCUCGCUUGCGGGAUGGGAAUCGGAUCUGGGCCUUGCAGGCUCGCCGCCCUCCGGGGUUGCGUGGUGUGCUGGCCUGAAAUUCAACCGUGGCAGGAUCCAGAUCCACCCGGGCUUCAAGGCGUCAUAGUUGGCCCAUGGUCAUCUUUCGCCGAACUCUAGCCAAGGCUGGGACUGACCGCGCGUCGUGAUCGCUUGCGCUCGCGACACCCAAACCUUUUAAAACUUGAUCUGAAAUCAGGCAGGACUACCCGCUGAACUUAA